rnacentral:rRNA from 1 species
GCUAGCGGCGAUACUUGAUUGCACCAGUUCCCCAUGGAUCACUGAAGUCAAGCAACGUUGGGUGUGGUUGCUAUCCAGACAGGUGACCUUUUGAGCCAUCGCAUGCUGCUGGCU